rnacentral:rRNA from 1 species
CGAACGGGUGAGUAAUGCGUGACCAACCUGCCCCAUGCUCCAGAAUAGCUCUUGGAAACGGGUGGUAAUGCUGGAUGCUCCAACUUGACGCAUGUCUUGUUGGGAAAGUGUUUAGUGGCAUGGGAUGGGGUCGCGUCCUAUCAGCUUGUAGGCGGGGUAAUGGCCCACCUAGGCUUCGACGGGUAGCCGGCCUGAGAGGGCGGACGGCCACAUUGGGACUGAGAUACGGCCCAGACUCCUCGGAGGCAGCAGGC